AGCUGGUUGGAACAAAUAAAAUCCAUUACCGUACAUCAAAAACAUUGCGCGAAAUGGAGGAUCACCAGAGCGAGAGCGAAAUCCGUGAAAUUGAAGAAACCAGCUCGAACUCAGAGCUGCAACCUCUUCUUCAGAGCCAGAACCCGAGUUCGAAUUCCAAAACAGUGAAAACGAAGGUUCCGGAGGUUGAGAUCCAUCUUUAUCGGCAGGGCAAAGGUCCGAUCGAUGUGUUUAAAUCAAGCCUUGGGGGUUGGGAACAAGACCAGCUCGAGGUCCGAGAGAUUCUCGAUAAAUACGGCUUCAAAAGCGUUUUCGCCUUCAAACCUGACUCCGGUCGUGGCGUCCCGAUUCGAUUCAACCCUAGAAAUGGUAGGUCUAUAUUGACUUACAGAGGUGGAGCCGAAAUUUACAUCGACGGAGAGCCUAAGGAUUCCCUGAUCAAACCCGUAACCGGGAUAGUUUUUGUCGUGGCAAUUAUUACCAUUAUGAUAACGCUUCUCUCGACCUCAAGAAGCUCACAGGGAUGGAUGAAGACACUAAACAUCACUGGGAACUUCCCUCCUUGGAUUCUUGCUUGCGUCGUUAUCGUCUUCACACGCUCGAGGAAGAGAACUAGGGACUUACUGAAGAAGUACGGUUGGUGAAUCUCAUUCUCCAGGCCUAUGUUGAUUAUUGUUUCUUGAUUUGAAACCUUGGAAAUAGAAGAUAAUGAUACAAUACAAAUGGAACGUUCUUGGUCCAUUGCUAUCAUAAAUUCCCUGCCUGGAUCUGAUCUUUUGACGUAAUUUGAGUUAUUAUAUAGUUUGGAUUUAUGUGUAUAACUUGUUUGUCAUAACUUCAA